rnacentral:rRNA from 1 species
UACGUAGGGUGCGAGCGUUGUCCGGAAUUACUGGGCGUAAAGAGCUCGUAGGUGGUUUGUCGCGUUGUUCGUGAAAACUCACAGCUUAACUGUGGGCGUGCGGGCGAUACGGGCAGACUGGAGUACUGCAGGGGAGACUGGAAUUCCUGGUGUAGCGGUGGAAUGCGCAGAUAUCAGGAGGAACACCGGUGGCGAAGGCGGUUCUCUGGGCCUUACCUGACACUGAGGAGCGAAAGCGUGGGGAGCGAACAGG